rnacentral:rRNA from 1 species
CGGUAAUUCCAGCUCCAAUAGCGUAUGCUAAAAUUGUUGCGGUUAAAACGCUCGUAGUUGUACGUUCCUCUAGGGCACUCGGAUUUUUCGUACAGAAGGUUCCGAGUGGUCUGUGAAAUUAUCUUACAAAGCGGUCUCUUGCUGAGCACGCGGAAAGGGAUACUUGUACCUUGAAGAAAUUAGAGUGCUUCAAGCAGAUUAUUGUCUGAAUAUUAUAGCAUGGAAUAGUUGGAGAAGACACUGGUUCUAUUAGAGAUUUGUAGAGCAGGUGUAAUAGUUGAGAGGAACAGAAGGGGGCAUUCAUAUUCGCAUGUGAGAGGUGGAAUUCUUGGAUCUUGCGAAGGUGGACUACUGCGAAAGCAUUUGUCAAGAAUGUUUUCAUUAAUCAAGAACGAAAGUUAGGGGAUCGAAGACGAUUAGAUACCGUCCUAGUCUUAACCAUAAACCAUGCCUUUUGGAGAUCAGGUGAACCUCGAACGCAGAGGAUUCUGGCAUCCUAGGGGAAACUAAAAUUUUUGGGUUCCGGGGGGAGUAUGGUCGCAAGACUGAAACUUAAAGGAAUUGACGGAAGGGCACCACCAGGAGUGGAGCUUGCGGCUUAAUUUGACUCAACGCGAGAAAUCUCACCAGGUCCAGACAUGGGAAGGAUUGACAGAGAAGCAGCUUUUUCUCGAUUACAUGGGUGGUGGUGCAUGGCCGUUCUCAGUUGGUUGAUUCCGAUAACGAACGAGACCUCGACCUACUAAAUAAUUAGCACUUUGCUGUAAGUGAUGAUUUCUUAGAGGGACUUUUCGUGUCCAACGAAAGGAAGUAUGAGGCUAUAACAGGUCUGUGAUGCCCUUAGAUGUUCUGGGCUGCACGCGCGCUACACUGACAUAGACAGAGAGAUGUUCCUAUCCGAGGGGAGUGGAGAAACUUGAGAGGAUAUGUCGUGAUGGGGAUAGUUUAUUGCAAUUAUUGAACUUAAACGAGGAAUUCCUAGUAAGCGUAUGGAAUGAACUUACGCUGAUUACGUCCCUGCUCCUUGUACACACCGCCC